CCGCGAAACUGCGAAUGGCUCAUUAAAUCAGUUAUCGUUUAUUUGAUAGCACCUUACUACUUGGAUAACCGUGGUAAUUCUAGAGCUAAUACAUGCUGAAAAUCCCAACUUCGGAAGGGAUGUAUUUAUUAGAUUAAAAACCAAUGCCCUCCGGGGCUCACUGGUGAUUCAUAAUAACUUCUCGAAUCGCAUGGCCUUGCGCCGGCGAUGGUUCAUUCAAAUUUCUGCCCUAUCAACUUUCGACUGCUGGGUCUUGGCCAGCAAUGGUGACAACGGGUAACGGAGGGUUAGGGCUCGACCCCGGAGAAGGAGCCUGAGAGACGGCUACUACAUCCAAGGAAGGCAGCAGGCGCGCAAAUUACCCAAUCCCGACACGGGGAGGUAGUGACAAUAAAUACUGAUACAGGGCUCUUUUGGGUCUUGUAAUUGGAAUGAGUACAAUUUAAAUCCCUUAACGAGGAACAAUUGGAGGGCAAGUCUGGUGCCAGCAGCCGCGGUAAUUCCAGCUCCAAUAGCGUAUAUUAAAGUUGUUGCAGUUAAAAAGCUCGUAGUUGAACCUUGGGCCUGGCCGGCCGGUCCGCCUCACCGCGUGCACUGGUUCGGCCGGGCCUUUUCCUCUGGCGAGCCCCAUGCCCUUCACUGGGCGUGUGGGGGAACCAGGACUUUUACUUUGAAAAAAUUAGAGUGUUCAAAGCAGGCCUAUGCUCGAAUACAUUAGCAUGGAAUAAUAGAAUAGGACGUGCGGUUCUAUUUUGUUGGUUUCUAGGACCGCCGUAAUGAUUAAUAGGGACAGUCGGGGGCAUCAGUAUUCAAUUGUCAGA
rnacentral:rRNA from 1 species